ACGCGCGACGGGGCGCCGCCCGCACCUCCCACCGCAUCACGCCAGUGAGCCUCUCUCUCCCCCUUCCUCUAUCUCUAUUUCUCCCUUUCUCUCCUCCUAUCCUCUCCUCUCUCAUCUCUCUCUGCAUCUGCUUGCAGGAAUGGAGGUCGAGACCCAUGACAUGGCCAGAGCUCAACCCUAGCCGUCGUUCUUCUUCGAACUCGUCAAGAUCUGGCUGGAUCUGGACGCCAGCACCCCGUUCCACUUCGAACUCGUCAAGAUCUGGACAACAGCGCCCCGUUCCCGACCUCCCCGCCUCGCUUGGGUCGCCAGCCACCGCAACGAUGUCAUAGCGCUCGUGGGAUCCAGGGCCACUGCUGGCUGGGCACUUCCUCUCCUAGAGGAGAUGCCCUCACACUGGCGUGUCCCACAUGAGUAGCAACAGCGAACACAUCUUUAAGGGCUUCUCUGGCGAUGUUUUUUCUUUUAUAUCAUUUUGAAGAUGUUUGCCAGAUCUAUGCUAGAAAAUCCAUGGGGAUGAACUCAGUUUAAUGUCCCGAGAGAGUUGGGCGGUGCUUGAGAUGUGAUGGCUGCACCGUAGCUCCGGUCAGAGUAGUAGGCUAGAUCUCCAAGAAAAAAAUAUAUGUAAUUCCAAGUUUUUUGUUGUGUAUUUCUUCCUUUUGGUAACAUAAUGUUUUUUAUCUGUUAUGUUUAUGCAAUUUCCUUUUUUUUAUUUUUAAGGCAAUGGGCACAAAUAAUCAGGAUAAAAAUAUUGACUAAAA
rnacentral:lncRNA from 1 species